CUCAAAGCCUAUGCUAAAAAUCAGCAAGUUUCUAUGUAUUUUAAAAUUCACAGAUUUUCCAUUUUUAAUACAGAUUCAUAAAAGGAAAUUUCUUGAAUUGUAAACAGCAUCAUUCAUCAAGUUUAUUGCUCCAGCAAGUCUGCUUUCAGAAUUUACCUGACUGAGUAACUUUCACAUGAUUUUAUUCUUCUGGCACAAAUUCAUUUCUUAAUAAACUUUGGCAAAGGUGAGAGUACAAGAUAUCCCACCCAGCAUACAUAUACUCUGCAAACUUAUUUAGGCUGCAAAACAGUAUGUAUAAUAUAUACAAAGCCAGUCUCUUGUUUUCUUUACGAAGUCACUCCUCCUCCCCAUUUAGUUAUAGGGGAAAAAAAUGAUAUACUGAAAAUCAUAUAUUCUAAGCACCUUAUAAAUUAACUAGCGUCCUUACAAAAACUAGAAAUCAGUUCAUAUUUCAUGCUUCCAGAGAACAUCCAAUUAAUCACACAAAUAAAAGGAUUUUUAAUGUGCCCGUCAUAGCAUUGCAACUAGUACCUGCUUGCUCCUAAGUUCCCUGAAUAACCUUCACAGAUGUCAGUUGCGUCUCAGAAUUGGCCUUAGCUUAAAUUAUAUUUUCAUAAUAAAAAAUAGUGUAAUCAGCCCAGUAUGUGCUUUGUGUGUCUUUUAUUUGCACAGGCAGCAGUAAAUACAGUAAAUAUAUAUCUACAGUGGACCUUUUAACAAUGGAGAAAAAAUAUAUUCAUUAAUAUAUAUACAGUUUCAACAUAUUUUAUUUCUCUUCUCCUUACAAAAUGAAACUCUGCCAACACUUGGGGUUUUAUCCACAUUUCACUUCUGGAGUUUCUUCAUAGUCUCAGGGACUAUGAUCAGGUUAAUGAUUUGACAUCAUGAAUCGCAGUCAUUGCAAUCCCCAAAAAUAUGACCAUUUACCAGCAUCUGAUAUGGCUUUUUCAUUCUAAAACCUAAAUUUAUAAAUUUAGGGCAAAAUUGGCUUGACCUUCCAGAAACCCAGGGGGAAAAUCCAUUCUUCUUUCUAACACUGGUCUGAGAGGUGAUGCCUCAUCGGCACUGCAGGCAGCUGGUGAUUCCCAGGACUACCGCUCCCCAGGCCAAUCUCCAACCACUAUUCUGGUGCAGUAGUUCUGAAGGGGGCUCAAGAAUCUGUUUUUAGAUCACUUCUCAGUGACACUUACGGGCAACAAGUUUGAGGGUCAGUUAUCUAAAUGCUCAUCUUAAUUAUUCCAAGUUACUGAACAGAUCUUAGAAAUGCACAUGUUCCAAUGCAAAGGUCGGAAGAAACUGCCUCACUCCCACUUUCACACACGUGGACAUGUGGCGGCAAUGCUCUAGGACAGAGGGUAGGACAGUGCCUGCUGGACAGGGUUAAGGUUUGUGCCACUGUGUGUCUUUCUUGCAUCCAUAGCUCUUGCCUGUCCCUCAAGAGCAGAAAAAUUGGAAACUACAUUUCCCAGGCUUCCAUGACAGCAGGGCUCUAGCUAGAUUUCAUCAGUGUCAAGCAGUCAUGUACAAUUUGGAGGGAUGAGAAAAAGAAGAAGCCAUAUUUCUCCAGCAGCAGCAGAUUCUGGCAGGAUGCUAAAGAUGAAGUGAGUAAGUAGUAGGAAACAAGAAACUGCUGACAGCGUCUGAUGAUACCAUCCUGCAUGUUUCCAGGCCUCAUACAGUGGAAUCUGCUUUCAGUUUACACUCUACAAGUCACUCUGCUGCUAAAGGUGUGUGGAAGCUUCCUCUCCUAGAGUCAUAGCACACAGCAGACACUGCCACCAAUCAGAGUCAAUGCCAAUCCCACCAAAUGACUCAAUGAAGAGACACUGGAGACAGUGAGGAAGUCCCCAUGUACCUCUUGCAUCCAGCUUUUCAAACAAAACAUGAUAAACCAUGUAGUGAAGAAGUUAGGCAUCUGGAUCUGGAAUCAGGUGAAUUUGAUUUUGAAUAUGGGCUCUGUCACUUUUUAGCUACAUAUCCACCAGCAUGUUAUUUAUUCUAAUUUUCUAUUUUAUUCUCACUACCCACUCUGAGUAGGCUCAACCUCUCUAGAUUCUGCUAAGUGGCAGGGAUGAGAGAAAGCCAUCUAAGAAACUACUCAUGCUUGACACAACCUACCAGGACACCAGAAAAAUGAGCCUCUGUCAUACUCCUAUCCAGCUUCCUUCCAGGCAGUGAUGACAUAACAAGGUGUUACCAUAUAGCUUGUUAUCUAACUGGACUUACCUUAAAGUCAGAUGAGCAAGUAGAAACCUGCACCAUACCAAUAAUCUCUCUAGCCUACAGGCUCAAGGUAAUCCUUUGAUAGUUCAUUCUUUGCAUCACAAACCCCUUUCAAAUUCUUCCCCAGGCUUUCCUAUGAGGUGACACUAAGGGGAAUACAAUGUGGCUCUAAUACCGUUUGUACAGAUUGUGCAUAUUUUUUCUCAUUAGAAUGGCAUGCAUUGUAGAGGGGUUCCCAUUGUCAGAGUAAAGUUUUAAACACGUGAACAUGUUGGAAUCCUCUCCAUCCUUUGUUUUGUGAGUUUCUUCACAAAGCCUUGGAGAUACGUAUACCCUUGGUGACUUCAUUCACUCAUUUCACAUAUCCUACUUCUAUUAUCUAACUCUGGUAUCCAUUCCUUUCCAUAAGGCAGUGAACUUUUCUACUAGUUAAUAUCCCCAUUCAAAAAAUCUGUCCUCUCUGAACCUUGAUUUCAUCAUUAUAAAGUGAGGGUAUGGGGGAAAUUGUGGAAAUUAUGUUUAAGUGAAUAACUAUGUAUUUUCUAGAGGAUAUCACCCCAGAUUAUCUAAUUUUGAUUCCAUGGGAACCAUCUUACAACUCUGUAAGUUGUAAAUAAUUGAAAGCAAUACAAAAUAUUUCUUGUCGGUAGACAUACGCAUUUUUUUCCAGUUAAGUAGAAGUUUGAUUGACUUCCUUUACCACAUUAUUCAAAGAAAUAUUUUGCUUUCAUUUGUACAUUCAUUUUAAUAUUUCUGAUCUACAAGUGGGUUUGUCCUUUGGACUGUUUUUGAAUCAGC
rnacentral:lncRNA from 1 species